UUUUGCACCUAGGGACAGAUCUCUAAUUUUAGUGAUCUGGACCCAAAGAACCAAGGGCUUCACAGCGCAGCUAGACACUCUCCCAUCCGUUAACAUAAUGGCGCCGGGACUGGGAUGGUGCUUUCUGGGAUGGUGCUUUCUGGUGCUUUCCAGACCGCUCUCUCCCGGCUGCAACCACUGUCUUCCCCUCGAACAUCAGACGAGGCCUGAAAUCCCUAGUGACCUGCGAUCACUGUCAGACGCCUGGACACAAGAAGAACGGCUAUCUACUAAAGCCUCCACAGAAGCCUUGCCCCAAAUGUGGCUGACCAGGCCACCGGACGAGGGACUGCCCUGGGAGUUCUGGGACCCCCGGGUCAGACCCUGAAGAGGCCUCAACAGUGGCCCUCCAAUGAGGAUGCCCUCCACUCCAGUCGGCUCCCGCGACAGCCUUCAACAUCAUGGGGUCGGAGCCCAGGGCGACCCUGGACGUGGCAGGUCCAGAAGGCUCUCCAGUCUUAUGGGGACCAGGUCUUGCCAGCAGCUACCUCUCGGAGUUAACCCUUUCCAACCAGGAGAUGAAGUAGAGACCUAGAGAGACAAGGAUCCUGAAGGCCAACCUCAGCCUAUUUGGAAGGGCCCCUAUACUGUUCUUUCAACCCCUACUGCAGUAGAAGUGGCCAGCAUUCCCACCUGGAUCCACAUUCACGGAUCAAGCUGGCUGCUCACCUGGGAACUCGCCAGACUUCUCACACUUACACCUGCGAGCCUCUGGAGGCCCUUCGAUUUCUUUUCAAGAAGAACUCUUCCUCAGAUAAGUAAUAUGAACCCAGUCUUUUCCUGCUCCUGCACGUUCUUACUCAGGGAUUUGCGACAACAUUGCCUUCUUUUCAAGGUCUUCCGGAUGCUUAUACUCUCCUUAAUCGUACUGCUACUGUUUCAAGUCUCACAGGACCCUGUUGGCUCUGCCUGACUACACAUAGCUGGGGAUAUGUUCAAGCAGUACCAUAUGAACAAUGGGCCACUCCCAGCUCCUCUCUCCACAGACAUUAAACCAACGAAUUCUUGGGGAGAAAAGGCAACCUUAGAUAUUCAGUCAUUUUCUAGAUGGGGUACGGAUCUCUGAAGUGACUAGAGAUGGAACUAUGUCUUCUCCUUCUGGAGUUCUUUAUUCCCACAUAAUCAAUGCAGACGAUGCGCAUUAUCCAGUCUGUAUUCUCAGCAAUACUUCUCGAGGAACUCCCACUGGAUCACUCCAAAGGGAUAAUUGUGAUCAUAUUUACCUUAUGGGCUCUUCAAUACUUGUCAAUACCUCAAGGGGAAUUCCUCUUAUAAAAGGACGUAACCACAUAACAAAUUUCAUACUAUAUACAUGUCCUAGGGCAGCAAUCCCCACUUUCAAAUUUCAAUAUACUAACAAGUCACUUUUCUGCCAAGGUAGACCUAUAGGACCUCCCUCUUGGACACCACUGAUGGCCACAUCGCGAGACAAUUGGCAGUUGCUUAAUUACACCAACCAUACCCAAAUGUUUUGGGGACCACAUACGGGGCACUUUAUACCUGGAACAUUUUAACUCAUUCCAACACAAAGAACACCCAUUGUGGACUCCAAUUACAACAGCUAACUUUACCUCUCAGGGUGUGACUGUUAGUGGAACACAAGUCUCUACUGUAUUCCAGGGUGGCUCUAUACGAGCUACAAAUAAGAUCAUAAGGCAAGAAUCUUUCUCUUUUGUUCAGUAUUAAGUUCUGGGCCAAACUUAAUGCCUCUCGGGGAGUUUACUGGAUCUGUGGGCAUUGGGCUUAUUUAGUCCUCCCACCUGGCCGGACAGGCCUCUGUUCAUUAGACUAUAUAAUCCCUGAUAUUAAAAUGGCAUGGGGAAACGCCUCCUUGCCCAUUCCCCUCAGAACAAAUGCUAGGCUAUCCAAAUGAGCAGGACCCCUAAUUCUCUUGAGCAUCACUUUUGGUGCUCUUACUGUUAUAGGGGGUAUGGCUACUGGCAGUAGCUCUCUCGGACUGCAACAGCGGUUGUCUGCUGAAACAGCUGAAGCUUUCAGAGUUACAGCAGAAAGCCUAACAAGGAAACGGGAACAAUUAGAUUCCUUGGCAGGUGCUGUUUUACAAAACCGCAGAGCCCUAGAUCUUCUCACUGUGGGAGAAGGGGGAACUUGUAUAUACUUAAAAGAAGAAUGUUGUUUUUACGUUAAUCAAUCUGGCUUAGUUCAACAAGAUGUUAAAAAUCUUCUUGAAAAAGUCACAAAAAUGGAAAAACUAGGAUUUUCCUCAUGGAACAAUACAAACUGGCUUUUAAGUCUCUUGUUGCCACUAGUAGGCCCGGUUACAACGAUCAUCUUAAUCAUUAAGCUUUGGCCCUCCGUUGUUGCAGGCCCUGACUAAACUGCCAACCGAAUACAAUCUAUCUUUGUUACAACAUCAACCAGUGCCUAAUAAGGUUGACCUCUCCCCUCUAGACGCAGCCGCUAUAGCUUCUGUGAUUCACAUGAGGACACCUCUGAAGUCUCCGCCUAAUCUUGGGGCCAGCUUGACAGAGCAAGGACUGAGGCCCUGACUCCCCUCUCUUCGGCCCAUUGGUCAGCUGGAAGAAGCUACAGAAGAGACCUUCAGACCAUUUUUCCUGCAUGAUUUCAGUCCCCACCUUCGAACACCAUGGUCUGAUUUAGUUUUUUGGCCUCGAUCCCAUCACAACCAUAAAUCAACACCCGGAUGUGGGGGAGACACAUUCCAACCGUAGCAGGAGACAUUCUUCAGGCCAGCGUUCCAGCCCACAGUGCCGCUAAGGACAGAAAUACUGGAAACCACGUGAUUAUGAGUAGAAGUUUAUUCAGUUCACGGUUUGCAGGGCCAGGGUUCAGGGGCUGCAUCUGGGGAGGGUCUUCUUGUGAAUAACACGCUGGAGGAUGUCACAUGUCAAGAUGUGUGUCUAUGUCUGAAUCUUCUUAUAAAUCCACACUUUUCCAAAUGGGGCCUCACACUGAUGCCAGAUCACUUCCCCAAACCCCGUCUUUCAGCACCAUAACUGAAUUAGGCCCUCACCUCCUCAGCACCAUUACAAUGCUGUUUUCCAUACAUGAAUUUGGGGAGCACACAUUCAAACCACAUCAUCCCACCCUAGCCCCCUAAGUUCAUUUGAUUUUCUCACACAAAAUACUUCCAUCCCAUUCCGAUGUCCCCCAAAGUUUUAAUUAAUUGCAACGCCAACCCAAAAAUCCAAAGUGCAGCUGUGAGCCUGUGAACUCAACUAAAUCAAAACAAAUUCACACUGGGGCCAGCAUGUGGCAUGGUGGUUACAGUGCUGGGCUCCCACACGGCCAGGCCUGGAGGCUUGCUUUCUCACUUUCCCUUCCUCUGGCUCACUCUGGUCAAAUUCAAAAAUAGUAAUAAAUAAAGUUGAACAGAUAAUUUAAAAAACCACAAAUUACAUAUUUUCAACAUACAAUGGUGGGAGAAGCAGGGGGUAGACAUUCUCAUUCCACAAAGAGGAAGGAGUAUCAGGCCCCAAGCAAGACUGAAACACAAGAGGACAGACAUUAAGUCUUAAAACUCUCAACCUUUCACUCCAUGUGUCACAUACUUUUUUUUAAGAGAGAUUUUUGCUGUAGGGUACAUAUUCUCACCAGAGAGACAGAGAGAA